rfam:Rattus norvegicus chromosome 6, whole genome shotgun sequence.
GGGGAUUUAGCUCAGUGGUAGAGCGCUUGCCUAGCAAGCACAAGGCCCUGGGUUCGGUCCCUAGCUCUG